UACAGAGGUCUCAAGCGUUGCUCGGAUUCAUUGGGCGUAAAGGGUGCGUAGGCGGCGCGGUAAGUCGGGUGUGAAAUCUCGGGGCUUAACUCCGAAACUGCAUUCGAUACUGCCGUGCUUGAGGACUGGAGAGGAGACUGGAAUUUACGGUGUAGCGGUGAAAUGCGUAGAUAUCGUAAGGAAGACCAGUGGCGAAGGCGACUCUUUGGCCUGUAACUGACACUGAGGCGCGAAAGCGUGGGGAGCAAACAGGG
rnacentral:rRNA from 1 species